rnacentral:rRNA from 1 species
AGUGAACGCUGGCGGUAGGCCUAACACAUGCAAGUCGAACGACAGCACAGGAGAGCUUGCUCUCUGGGUGGCGAGUGGCGGACGGGUGAGGAAUACAUCGGAAUCUACCUUUUCGUGGGGGAUAACGUAGGGAAACUUACGCUAAUACCGCAUACGACCUUCGGGUGAAAGCAGGGGACCUUCGGGCAUUGCGCGGAUAGAUGAGCCGAUGUCGGAUUAGCUAGUUGGCGGGGUAAAGGCCCACCAAGGCGACGAUCCGGAGCUGGUCUGAGAGGAUGAUCAGCCACACUGGAACUGAGACACGGUCCAGACUCCUACGGGAGGCAGCAGUGGGGAAUAUUGGACAAUGGGCGCAAGCCUGAUCCAGCCAUACCGCGUGGGUGAAGAAGGCCUUCGGGUUGUAAAGCCCUUUUGUUGGGAAAGAAAAGCAGCCAGUUAAUACCUGGUUGUUCUGACGGUACCCAAAGAAUAAGCACCGGCUAACUUCGUGCCAGCCGCCGCCGUAA